rnacentral:misc_RNA from 1 species
GAUGAAGAACGCAGCGAAAUGCUAUACGUAAUGUGAAUUGCAGAAUUCAGUGAAUCAUCGAGUCUUUGAACGCACAUUGCGCCCCCUGGUAUUCCGGGGGGCAUGCCUGUCCGAGCGUCAUUGCUGCCCUCAAGCACGGCUUGUGUGUUGGGCCUCCGUCCUCCUCCCGGGGGACGGGCCCGAAAGGCAGCGGCGGCACCGCGUCCGGUCCUCGAGCGUAUGGGGCUUCGUCACCCGCUCUUGUAGGCCCGGCCGGCGCUUGCCGACACAUCAAUCUUUUUUCCAGGUUGACCUCGGAUCAGGUAGGGAUACCCGCUGAACUUAAGCAUAUCAAUAAGCGGAGGA